rnacentral:rRNA from 1 species
AGAGUUUGAUCCUGGCUCAGGAUGAACGCUAGCGACAGGCUUAACACAUGCAAGUCGAGGGGCAGCACAGGUAGCAAUACCGGGUGGCGACCGGCGCACGGGUGAGUAACGCGUAUGCAACUUACCUAUCAGAGGGGGAUAACCCGGCGAAAGUCGGACUAAUACCGCAUGAAGCAGGGGUCCCGCAUGGGGAUAUUUGCUAAAGAUUCAUCGCUGAUAGAUAGGCAUGCGUUCCAUUAGGCAGUUGGCGGGGUAACGGCCCACCAAACCGACGAUGGAUAGGGGUUCUGAGAGGAAGGUCCCCCACAUUGGUACUGAGACACGGACCAAACUCCUACGGGAGGCAGCAGUGAGGAAUAUUGGUCAAUGGGCGUAAGCCUGAACCAGCCAAGUCGCGUGAGGGAUGAAGGUUCUAUGGAUCGUAAACCUCUUUUAUAAGGGAAUAAAGUGCGGGACGUGUCCUGUUUUGUAUGUACCUUAUGAAUAAGGAUCGGCUAACUCCGUGCCAGCAGCCGCGGUAAUACGGAGGAUCCGAGCGUUAUCCGGAUUUAUUGGGUUUAAAGGGAGCGUAGAUGGAUGUUUAAGUCAGUUGUGAAAGUUUGCGGCUCAACCGUAAAAUUGCAGUUGAUACUGGAUAUCUUGAGUGCAGUUGAGGCAGGCGGAAUUCGUGGUGUAGCGGUGAAAUGCUUAGAUAUCACGAAGAACUCCGAUUGCGAAGGCAGCCUGCUAAGCUGCAACUGACAUUGAGGCUCGAAAGUGUGGGUAUCAAACAGGAUUAGAUACCCUGGUAGUCCACACGGUAAACGAUGAAUACUCGCUGUUUGCGAUAUACAGCAAGCGGCCAAGCGAAAGCGUUAAGUAUUCCACCUGGGGAGUACGCCGGCAACGGUGAAACUCAAAGGAAUUGACGGGGGCCCGCACAAGCGGAGGAACAUGUG